GUUUUCAUCUCUUAUGUAGGUUAUAACUUAUAAAUGCCAAAUUUGCAGUUGAGGCUAAAGUUUAGUUGGUGGCUCUACUGAUAAGGCACCCAAUUUCAGGCACCCGUAGAGAGGCAGAGGCAGUUGAAGCUAAUGAUAUUACUUCAAUCAAGUUCCAGAUGUGAAUGUUGUCAGCGGUUUUAAGUUCAAUUUAAUCGGCGAGGCAGUGUUUGGUUUCUUUGGUUGCUACUGGAUAUAGAUUGAUCACUGAUUUAAUUCACUUGUCAACAAUUAAUUAGUUAGGUGCUAAUAUGUAGUAACCAGCUAUCAAUUCAAUUUUUUUUCCUCACAAUUAUUAUUUGGUUUUUGUCAUUAGUAGCAAUAAACAAUUGUUUUUCGUUCA